UCUUAGCUGAGUGUGCCGCGGAGCCCGAAGCGUUUACUUUGUAAAAAUUAGAGUGUUCAAAGCAGAGGCGAGCCGCCUGGAUAUCGCAGCUAGAA
rnacentral:miRNA from 1 species